rnacentral:lncRNA from 1 species
CAGCAAUGGCAGCAACGUUGUCCAAGCAACAGCAUGGGGCAUGGUAAUUGUGACAGCAAGUUUGGGAGGUGAGAUCAGGGUGUAUCAAAAUUUUGGGCUACCUCUGAAAGCUGGUCGUCAGACCAAUCUCUUUAGAGAUCUGACAUAAAUUGUUGUUGAGGGAACAAAGUGAGACCUAUAUUCUGUUCUUGAGCUUGAAAUUUUUCUAUAAUACUUAGAUGUUUAAGACCUAGUCGAGCUCAAGUUACACUGAACAAGGCAGAAGCGAUUGGCUUCACAAUGUUGAUAAGUAAAUGGGGAAACGGGUAAUUUUUUCCUUUUAGUACCUUUUACAUUAGAAAGACCAAGCAGAGAUCACAGUGUUCAAUGUUCCAAACAAUUGAACAUUUUAACUUGCAAUGUACAAUAGCAUGCAUUUUAACUAGCAUUUGCAAAACUUUGUUUUUUUUAACAAGUGUCUCACAGGUUAGCCGUUUCAAGUCACAGAUACAAGAGAAAAUUCAUUGGCACAUUUACUUAUUUUGGGAACAGAUCAAUCAACAAUCAACCAACUAUACCUCAAUCCCGUAUUAGUUGGGGUCCGCAAUAUGAAUCUUUAGACUAUUUUUAGCUGGUCCUUGAUCAACUACACCAUCAUCCUUUAUCGGCUAGGGACUAAAUAUACUUUGUGAAACUCACGUAUGACAUAACAGAUUUAAAAAGAAUCUUAUAGCAUCGCCUGGAAAGGAUGAUACUAAGCUAUCCUUCGGUUUUUUAUCAAAACACAAGACAAUGCCCUUAUGAAAUCCAAGGUUAAACUGUUUGAAGAAUGAAGAAAGGAAUUCUUCUGGGAUGUGCGUUUAGGUUAUUAGCAAAAGCAUACUUUUAUUUAUUUAAUUAUAUCUCAGCACGCCCUUCACGUGUUGGCCCGAUUCUUUUUAAUGGGACAAACACAUGGAAAUUCGAAAUGAUAAUGGAUGUUGAUAAGACUUAAACCACGGAUCUCUGCCUACUCUGUGUGACCAUUUUAUCUAAAAAUUUAAGAUGUUGAAAAGAACAAGGUUUUAUUUGCUUAAUUAUGUCUCAACAAAGACGACAACCAUUUACCUUUUUAUAAAUAUAAAAAAAUGGAGACCAUUUACCUAAAGCAACAUAACUAGAGAUGUUCAGUGAUAACUGAAUCGAGGAUAAUUUUCUAACGAUAAUUGAAGCAAAGAUUAUCCGAUAAAACAAGCAGACGUGAAGAAACAUAAAUGAAAAUACUCAUCAAAAUAUGUAGAAGCUAGUGCAAUAACACAGAAAUUAGCUGCGCAAAGAAAAGGGCUUUACCCAUUUUACAGACUGAUUGGUUCUCUUAACUGUCCGCUAAUAUUGCUUCUGUUGUCGCCCCCAAAAUUAAAAUGAAUCGUGCAAUGGCUUCACUAUGGAAGAGUAGCGAUGGACAGUGAAUACAGAUUCUUGAAUACAGAUUCAAGAGGAGAAAUUUCAACAACUAUCUCUAUUUCAAAUAGGUUUUUUUCUUCUUUAUGUUAAUCUCAAAUAGUUGUAGGCAGUAUAUCAUCUUAUAUCUAUUCAGACAUAAUUUGAUUGAAGUUAACAAAAAAUAUUUGGUGUUACGUUGAGAAAGAAUAUUUGGAAAAAUUAAGUUGAAGACUUGUGAGAGAAAAUUAUUCUCUCCCUCACACACACAC